GUGAGGAAUAUUGGUCAAUGGACGCAAGUCUGAACCAGCCAUGCCGCGUGCAGGAUGAAGGUGCUAUGCAUUGUAAACUGCUUUUGUACGAGGGUAAAUGCAGGUACGUGUACCUGUUUGAAAGUAUCGUACGAAUAAGGGUCGGCUAACUCCGUGCCAGCAGCCGCGGUAAUACGGAGGACCCGAGCGUUAUCCGGAUUUAUUGGGUUUAAAGGGUGCGUAGGCGGAUUAGUAAGUUAGAGGUGAAAGCUCGAUGCUCAACAUCGAAAUUGCCUCUGAUACUGUUAGUCUAGAGUAUAGUUGCGGAAGGCGGAAUGUGUGGUGUAGCGGUGAAAUGCUUAGAUAUCACACAGAACACCGAUUGCGAAGGCAGCUUUCCAAGCUAUUACUGACGCUGAUGCACGAAAGCGUGGGGAGCGAACAGGAUUAGAAACCCGAGUAGUCC
rnacentral:rRNA from 1 species